GGUCUAGGCCCGAAACGUCAGCUUUUGUGCUCCCAAGAUGCUACUUGGCCUGCUGUGUUCAUCCAGCCUCACAAGUUAUUUUAAGAUUUUGCCUGAACUAAGAAAGCCAAAGCCAACUGUGGUGCAAGAAUAAAUUAAUUUCUGCAAAGAUUGGUGACAAAAGCUUCCAUUUUAGAUUUUAUCAUGUUCUGCACCACCUGCAAAGGACAGUGUAAACAAAUCCAACCAGACCUCCACGAUUCUUCAGCUGACUGGCAGGAAGUAUACAAGAUGACCUGGCGAUAACUUUUCUUCUUUCCCAUAGUGUGUGGUUUUUGCUUGGUAACUCAGUGCAGCGAUGAAGCUGAGACUGGGCACCACAGCAGAAUUAAACUCAUUGCUCACCAUUCUGUGGUUUAGUUUGUUGAGGUUCCUACGCACUGCACUACACCAGGAAACUGGUGACAAAUUACCAUUGCUUUGCCAGAAAAUCAAUGGACAUAUGAGUUGAUCUGCCUGCACAAAUGUCAUUUUAAAAUCGAUUAGAAUCAAUGCAACUUGAUGUAUACCAGGAAUGUUCUUUAUCCUGUUGGCUCCAGCUCCUCAGUGGUUAAGUGUGAAAAUAGGACAAUUCUAUCUGACGAUACAAACGUGCAACAGAA